rnacentral:rRNA from 1 species
UCCAGACUCCUACGGGAGGCAGCAGUGGGGAAUAUUGCGCAAUGGGGGAAACCCUGACGCAGCAACGCCGCGUGCGGGAUGACGGCCUUCGGGUUGUAAACCGCUUUCAGCAGGGAAGAACAUCGACGGUACCUGCAGAAGAAGCCCCGGCUAACUACGUGCCAGCAGCCGCGGUAAUACGUAGGGGGCGAGCGUUAUCCGGAUUCAUUGGGCGUAAAGCGCGCGUAGGCGGGUGCCUAAGCGGGGCCUCUAACCUCGGGGCUCAACCCCGAGCCGGGUCCCGAACUGGGCGUCUCGAGUGCGGUAGGGGAGAUCGGAAUUCCCGGUGUAGCGGUGGAAUGCGCAGAUAUCGGGAAGAACACCGAUGGCGAAGGCAGAUCUCUGGGCCGCCACUGACGCUGAGGCGCGAAAGCUAGGGGAGCGAACAGGAUUAGAUACCCCCGUAUAG